AAGUCGUAACAAGGUCUCCGUUGGUGAACCAGCGGAGGGAUCAUUACUGAGUACUACACUCUCCUACCCUUUGUGAACUAUUAUACCUGUUGCUUCGGCGGCGCCGCAAGGGUGCCCGCCGGUCUCAUCAGAAUCUCUGUUUUUCGAACCCGACGAUACUUCUGAGUGUUCUUAGCGAACUGUCAAAACUUUUAACAACGGAUCUCUUGGCUCCAGCAUCGAUGAAGAACGCAGCGAAACGCGAUAUGUAAUGUGAAUUGCAGAAUUCAGUGAAUCAUCGAAUCUUUGAACGCACAUGGCGCCUUCCAGUAUCCUGGGAGGCAUGCCUGUCCGAGCGUCGUUUCAACCCUCGAGCCCCUGUGGCCCGGCGUUGGGGAUCUGCCACGGCAGGCCCCUAAAACCAGUGGCGGACCCGAAGGGCCCUCUCCUUUGCGCAGUAGCAUUCGCCUCGCAUCGGGAGUCCUCGGCGUCCUGCCUCUAAACCCCCCACAAGCCCGCUUCGGCGGCACCAAGGUUGACCUCGGAUCAGGUAGGAAUACCCGCUGAACUUAA
rnacentral:rRNA from 1 species